rnacentral:lncRNA from 1 species
AACUGACGCGGAACCCUAUGGCACAAGCCUCAAACCCACACGCACAAAUAGAUACGGAAUCUAAAGAUCUGAUAAACCCACCUCCUAUGGCACCCCAAACUUAGAGAAGCUGAAACACCAAUGAUCAAAGGAUUUAGAUGAGAAUCCGACAAACGCCACAACGAAUAGUUGAUAAGUUAGCCAAGAUUCCUGGUGCAAUUGAUGAAAGCAAAUCCUCACUCUCACUCAAAGCAAUACACGCCAAAGGCAUGAAAGAAAUUCUGAAAAGUUUGUUUAAAAGCUGCCUCUUACAAUUGUUUCCUAUCCUUAUAUAGUAAGGAGAAAAACAAAUAAAACCCUAAGACACUCUUCUUGGACUUGACUUAAACACAUAAGGCCCAAACUCAAUCACACACUAAAAUAACAUAUAAGUAUUAAAACAUAAGCCCAAAACAUGGCCCAACACACUAAAACUUAAAAGAUAAAGUAUGGCCAGAAUACAAGCCCAAAUAAAACUAAACUAAAACAAGUGUUGAAUAAUAAAAAUAUAGCAAGCCCAUCAUAACAAAGCUGAAUCUUCACAAAAGUCUUACUUGAUCUUCACUUUAGGCUUCCCUUUGUGUAGUUUUAGCCGAUAGGUUUGAUUAGGCUCCCUAAGCCUAUGAUUGCAAGUGUUGCACCAAAUUUGUCCCAUAUGAGUUGAAGCACGCCCCAAAUAUAUAUGGAUCAUAUGAAUGUGAUUUUGAACUCCUUUUAGAUCCAUUUGAAUGACAUAAGUUUGCUCCACACCAUUGUUAGAAAUUUGCCCUAUUGGAUCCGUAUCACAUCAUCUCCAUCUCCUUGUGGUAUUCUUCCACACUCCUUCCUCCUUGCACCAGUCUUGUCAACCUGUUGUACAAAUCCCUAUAAUAGUGGGAAGGAAUAAAUCUUUGGUGCAUCAACUCUUUCAAGUAUUCCCAAGGUAGAACUACCCUUAAGCCCUUAUUCCUCCUAGUGGAUUUCGAUUGAUCCCACCAGAAAGAGGCAUAACCCGUGAACUCAACGGCAGCAAUAUGAGACUUCUUCUCCUCAGUAUAGUUAUGACACUCAAAUAUCUGCUCAGUUUUUCUCUCCCAUUCAAUAUAUUCUUCAGCAUUGUUAUUCCCUUUAAAUUCAGGAACUUUCAUCUUUAUGGAGCUCAAGUCACCGUCAAUGGUGUUGAUUUGGUAUGUCUCGAUGUCAUCAUCAUUUCUGCCAAGUCUAGCAUCUCCACCUCUAUUCCACCGAAUGCCAGUUCUAUUACCUCCAUGAACUUCAACUCUUCCGUGUCCUUGUCCGACAUUAUCUUCUGUAUCAUCAACUUCACUGCGGACUUGAGGUUCUCGGACAUGUGGUCUAUUAGGGUUAAGAAUUCGAUGAGCCAUUCUGGUAGAAGUAGAAGCCUGUGAGACUUUCAAACUCUCCAUAGUUUCGGUCAUCUCUCAAGAGCCCUAUUGAGCCUUUGUAGCUCACCACUGACUGACUUCUUAAAGUGCUUAUAAUCAUUACCCAUGUCUGAUUCACUUUCAUCAGUAGUAUCCACCACAUUCUUGUCUUUACUCAUCCUACCUUAAAUCAACAAAGAACAAGGAGAACUAGCAAAUAUUGUGCUAGAAAAGAAAGCACUCAAGUGUUUGCACACUUACCCCUCUUUUGCUGAUUCUUCAAUUGCACUUCAGAAACUAAGGUCAACCAACUAACCACAAGGUGCGUUUAAAGAAACAAAUAAGAAAACUUAAAGAAAGAAGGAAGCGCGCAAAAAUUAGAAAGAAGAAACUGACAAUUUGGAAAGUAAUACACGAACUAGGUUUUGUGCUACUUGAAAAAUAUCACCUGGAGUAUAGACACAAGCAAACAAUAACUCCAGCAAUGUCAAGAAAACAAAAGCAAGCUUAAACCAAAAAGGAAAUUUAGAAUUCAAAUAAAAACGAACCUGGACAAAAGUUAGAAUUUAAUUCACUUCAACGUAAAUUAAAUAUGGAUCUAUUUAAAUAUGUAUCAAAACACCACAAAUAAAAUUAGAAAAAAAAAUUUUAAUUUCACUCAGUUCAAGAAAUGGGCAUAAUAUCUUUUGUCUCCUAAUCUGGAUUCAACCCAAUUCAAAAUUCAAAAUUCAAAAUUGAUUCGCAUAAAUUACAACAAUCAAUUGAGAUAGGUAAGGCAAUAUGGACGAAAAAGGAAGCAUAUCACAAUUUCGGCCUGAUCAAGAUAAAUAAGGCAAAGGCGAUUUUGAUUUCUUUUUUAAGGAUUUCGAUUUUUUUUAUGAUUAAUAAUCAAGAAGGAGCAGUAUGGACACACAAGCUUUCACCGAAAUCAACAACGAAGAAAAGAAAAACUCAAAAAUCUCUAGAUCCUAAGAUAAAUAUGAAUUUACCUCACUUUGGCUCUGAUACUAACUGACGCGGAACCCUAUGGUACAAGCCUCAAACCCACACGACACGCCAAAGGCAUGAAGAAAUUCUGAUAAUUUAGAUUCAAAGCUGCCUCUUACAGGUGUUUCUUAUCCUUAUAUAAUAAGGAGAUAAAAUAAAACCCUAAGACACUCUUUUUUGGGCUGGCCGAACCACACACAAGACUCAAGCCCAAUAACACAUCAAACACAUAAGUAUUAAAACAUAAGCUCAAAACGUGACCCAACACUCUAAAACUUAAAAGAUAAAAUAUGGACAGAAUACAAGCCCAAACAAAACUAAAAUAAAAACAAGUGUUUAAAUAAUAAAAUAUAGCAAGCCCAUCAUAAUAAUGCCAAAUAAAUUAGACAGCGCUAUCUCCAUUACACACCUUAAGCAAGGUGAGUAGCUUAGGUGUAUCUUCAAGCUUCGUGAGACAUUUGCCAAUGGCAAGCUCAGUCAAUUCUUGUGUUACUUGUUGUUGAAUGUGUAAGUUCAUAGCUGCUUCAAGUUUCUUAGCUUCGCUCCUUGUCACCGGUCCACUAGGGAGCACCAAUGGAUCCUUGAUUCUCAUCUGAUUGUGCUUGCUGGUUCGUAUGAAAGAGUGUAGUAGAGCAACCUUCUGGAAGAUAUCUUUGUCUUGUUCUUGGUCAAGUUGUGUGAUGGGGUUUUUUUCAUCAUAUGUUGAUCCUGGGUUUUGCAUCACUCCUAACUAACUAAUGUGAUUAGAAAUGAAGAUUAUGAAGCAAAGGUUGCUCUACCACACCCCUAACCAACCAAUGUGAUUAGAAACAAAUAUUAUGGAGUGAAGGUUGCUUCACUACACCGCUAAUCAAUCAAUGUGAUUAGAAACAUAGAAAAUCAUGUGAUUUCAGCUUCGAGAAUGCCACAUGAAAUUAUUAAUAAGUUAACUAAGUAUGGGGGAGAUGUAUAUUAGAAUGCCACAAGGAUGAACCUUGAUAAGCUGCUAAAUAAUGGAGAAGAACUAAAUAUUGUUCAUAACAUCAUCAUUUUUUCAUUGGCUCUAGUGGCUGCCACCUUAAAGGUAUUUUUAUAGCCUCCAAAAUCUAAUUCUGGAAGAUUCCGAUACGAUCAAGGAAAUAAUACGAUGCUUCAAAUAUUUAAAAUGGGAAACUCCAAAUCAUGACAAAUUAAGUUACCAUCGCUUAAUUCAAUGCUUACGAGAUAAGAAUUAUAUUUGGGAAGCAUGGGAGAAUAAGGAAACAAGCCACACUCUCUUCAACACAUCCGGACACACAACACAAUUUUAGAUCGCGUAAUGCAUGUAUGUCCAAAUUGUAUUUUGGCCAGUUUUAUUAUUUUGGUAUUUUAGUAUUUUGUGGGAUUUGUUUUAAAUUAAUUUGGCCUAUAUUAGAAGUCAAAUUCUUGUAACCCAUUUAGGAAGGAUAUUUCUCCAAGAUAAUUUAGGAAAAUGAUCUUUAAUGUAAUCUAGGUUUGACUAUUUAACUAGAUACCCUUCCUAUAUUGUAAUUACACCUUCCUAUAAUAGAAUUAGAGUUUAAAGGCUAUAAAAACAAUCUUAAUGUGGCAGCCUGACACGGAACCCUAUGGUACAAGCCUCAAACCCAUACACACAAGUAGAUAUGGAAUCCAAAGAUUUGAUAAACCCACCUCCUAUGGCACCCCAAACUUAGAGAAGCUGAAACACCAAUGCUCGAAGGAUUUAGAUGAGAAUCUGACAAACGCCACAACGAAUAAUUGAUAAGUUAGCCAAGAUUCCUGGUGCAAUUGAUGAAAGCAAAUCCUCACUCUCACUCAAAGCAAUACACGCUAAAGGCAUGAAAAGAAUUCUGAACUUUUGAUUAAAAGCUACCUCUUACAAUUGUUUUUUAUCCUUAUAGAGUAAGGAGAAAAACAAAUAAAACCCUAAGAAACUCUUCUUGGACCUGACUUAAACACAUAAGGCCCAAGCCCAAUCACACACUAAAAUAACACAUAAGUAUUAAAACAUAAGCCCAAAACAUGGCCCAACACUCUAAAACUUAAAAGAUAAAGUAUGGCCAGAAUACAAGCCCAAACAAAACUAAAAUAAAACAAGUGUUAAAUAAUAAAAAUAUAGCAAGCCCAUCAUAACAAAGCUGAAUCUUCACUUUAGGCUUCCCUUUGUGUAGUUUUAGCCCAUAGGUUUGAUUAGGCUCCCUAAGCCUAUGAUUGCAAGUGUUGCACCAAAUCUGUCCCAUAUGAGUUGAAGCACGCCCCAAAUAUAUAUGGAUCAUAUGAAUAUGAUUUUGAACUCCUUUUAGAUCCAUUUAAAUGAUGUAAGUUUGCUCCACACCAUUGUUAGAAAUUUGCCCUAUUGGAUCCGUAUCAUUGCCUCUUACAAUUGUUUCUUAUCCUUAUAUAGUAAGGAGAAAAACAAAUAAAACCCUAAGAUACUCUUCUUGGACCUGACUUAAACACAUAAGGCUCAAGCCCAAUCACACACUAAAAUAACACAUAAGUAUUAAAACAUAAGCCCAUAACAUGGCCCAACACUCUAAAACUUAAAAGAUAAAGUAUGGCCAGAAUACAAGCCCAAACAAAGCUAAAAUAAAACAAGUGUUAAAUAAUAAAAAUAUGGCAAGCCCAUUAUAACAAAGCUGAAUCUUCACAAACGCCUUACUUGAUCUUCACUUUAGGCUUCCCUUUGUGUAGUGACGCGGAACCCUAUGGCACAAGCCUCAAACCCAUACGCACAAGUAGAUAUGGAAUCCAAAGAUUUGAUAAACCCACCUCCUAUGGCACCCCACACUUAGAAAAGCUGAAACACCAAUGAUCGAAGGAUUUAGAUGAGAAUCCGACAAACGCCACAACGAAUAGUUGAUAAGUAAGCCAAGAUUCCUAGUGCAAUUGAUGAAAACAAAUCCUCACUUUCACUCAAAGCAAUACACGCCAAAGGCAUGAAUAGAAUUCUAAAAUUUUGAUUAAAAGCUCCUCUUACAAUUGUUUCUUAUGUAAAGAGAAAAACAAAUAAAACCCUAAGACAUUCUUCUUGGGUCUGACUUAAACACCUAAGGCUCAAGCCCAAUCACACACUAAAAUAACGCAUAAGUAUUAAAACAUAAGCCCAAAACAUGGCCCAACACUCUAAAACUUAAAAGAUAAAAUAUGGGCAGAAUACAAGCCCAAACAAAGCUAAAAUAAAACAAGUGUUAAAUCAUAAAAAUAUAGCAAGCCCAUCAUAUCAAUGCUGAAUAAAUUAGACAGCACUAUCUCCAUUACACACCUUAAGUAAGGUGAGUAGCUUAGGUGUGUCUUCAAGCAUCACGAGACAUUUGCCAAAGGCAAGCUCAGUCAAUUUUUGUGUUACUUGUUCUUGAAUGUGUAAGUUCAUAGCUGCUUCAAGCUUCUUAGCUUUGCUCUUUGUCACUGGUCCACUAGGGAGCACCAAUGGAUCCUUGCUUCCUUGAUUCUCAUGUGAUUGGGUUUGCUGGUUCGUAUCAUAUAGUUUUAGCCCAUAGGUUUGAUUAGGCUCCCUAAGCCUAUGAUUGCAAGUGUUGCACCAAAUCUGUCCCAUAUGAGUUGAAGCACGCUCCAAAUAUAUAUGAAUCAUAUGAAUAUGAUUUUGAACUCCUUUUAGAUCCAUUUGAAUGACAUAAGUUUGCUCCACACCAUUGUUAGAAAUUUGCCCUAUUGGAUCAAGAAGCUAAUGAAUAAAGAUGAUGUUUUAAAUAAAAUUUUGGUUCUUCUCCACUAUUUGACAACUUAUCAAGGUUUAGCCUUAUGGCGUUCUAAUAUGAAUCUUCUCCAUACUCAGUUAACUUAUCAAGAAUUUCUUGUGGCAUUUUCAAAACUGGAAUCGCUUGAUUAUCUAUGUUUGUAAUAACAUUGGUUGGUUAAGGGUGUGGUAGAGCAAGCUGCACUCCAUUAUCUAUGUUUCUAAUCAUAUUCGUUGGUUAGGGGUGUAGUAGAGCAACCUUUCAGAACAUAUCUUUGCUUUCUUUUUUAUCAAGUUGUGUGACACGGUUUUUGAUCUUAUGUUGAUCUUGGAUUCCACAUCAGUUGAUAAUACGAUUAAGGAAAUAAUUCGUUGCUUCAAAGAUUUAAAAUGAAAAACUCCAAAUCAUGACAAAUCAAGUUAUCAUCGCUUAAUUCAAGGCUUAUGAGAUGAGAAUUAUAUUUGGGAAGUAUGGGAGAAUAAGAAAUCAAGCCACACUCUCUUCAACACAUGUGGACACACAACACAAUUUUAGAUCGCGUAAUGCAUGUAUGGCCAAAUUGCAUUUAGGCCAGUUUUAUUAUUUUGGUGUUUUAGUAUUUUGUAGGAUUUAUUUUAAAUUAAUUUGGCGUAUAUUAGAAGCCAAAUUCGUGUAGCCCAUUUAGGAUGAAAAUUUCUCUAAGAUAGUUUAGAAAAAUGAUCUUUAAUGUAAUACAGGUUUGACUAUUUGACUAUAUAUCCUUCCAAUAUUGUAAUUACACCUUCUUACAAUAGAAUUAGAGUUUGAAGACUAUAAAAAUAUCCUUAAGAUGGCAGUCACAAAAAGCCAGUGAAUAAAAGAUAGCGUUAUGAACAAUAUUUAGUUCUUCUCCAUUAUUUAGCAACUUAUUAAGGUUUAACCUUGUGGCGUUCUAAUAUGGAUCUUCUCCAUGCUUAAUUAACUUAUCAAGAAUUUCUUGUAGCGUUCUCGAAACUGGAAUCACUUGAUUAUCUAUAUUUCUAAUCACAUUGGUUGGUUAGGGAUGUAGUGGAGCAACCUUCAUUUGAUUAUCUAUGUUUCUAAUCACAUUCGUUGUUUAGGAGUAUAGUAUAGCAAUCUUUUGGAAUAUAUCUUUGCUUUGUUCUUUAUCAAGUUGUGUGUUUUUUAUCAUAUAUUGAUUCUGGGUUUCGCAUCAGUUGGUAUCAGAGCGCAGUGAUAGAUUAAUUUCUAUUUAUCUAUAUUUCUUUGUUUCAUAAGUUUUUUUUAUUCUUUUCAGUCUGUCUUAUUGUUUUUUUAUUUUAGUUUAUCUUAUAGUUUCUCUAAAAAAAAAAGGAAAAAAUUUCAGUUAUAUUUAUAUAAAAAAAAGAAAAAAUUUUUUUAUUUCAGUAGUGUGAGUUUUUCUUUUUUUAAAAGUGAGAUAAUUAAAAAAAAGAGUGAAGAAAAAAAAAUCAUUUCAGUUGUUUGAUUUAAAAAAAAAAAGGAAAAAGAUGAGAGAUAUUGGUAGAGCAUAUUUUAGCCCAUUUUAUCAUGAUAUUAUUAAUGUUAUUUUACACCAUUUCUACCUAAUUUUGUGGUUUUAAUAAUAUUUUGCAGAUAUUAGGUGUAAAGAGACAAUCUGGUAAAAAUGCUCUUAAAACUGCCAAAAAAUGCCAAAUAUCGAAAAUGCCAAAAAAUGAAAGUUUUCAAAUAAGGAAAGUUUUCAAGAAAUGAAAGUUUUCAAAUAAGGAAAGUGCAGAAGCAAAAGCAAAUAAGGAAAGUUCAGUCAGAAGAUUAUUUGAAAUUCAAAUCGCAGAUCUUUCUUUUCUUGUUCAAAGAUGUGCACACACUGCAGCAGUCAGAUCUUCCUAUUUAGGCAGCUAUAUUUCAAGAAGACGCACUUGCCUUUUCUGCAUUCAGCAUUCAAAAUUCAAACGAAGGCUCCAUCUAAAAAGGAAAGACUGUACAUAAUAUCUUUCCCUUCUGCACAUCCAUCCGCGCGCACACCUUCCUUUUGAAGAGCCUUCCGCGCGCCACCUUCCUUCUGAAGAGCUUGCAACGCAAUUCUUUCCUUUUCAGAUACAACUUGGGCAGCAAGCACCUCUUGGGCAGCAACUUGGGCAGCAAGGAGACCUAGGACAACACUUUGAACUAUAAAAAGACACAUAAGGAGCCUCCCCAUACCUUUUCAACUCCCCCUUGGACACACCUACGGGAUUGCAAUUGGCACCAUCUCUUCUUCUUUCUUUCUUUUAUUUUCUGUUUUGUUUCAGCCAUGAGUGGCUGAAACCUUUUAUUCUAGUUGAAGAUUAGGUGAUACUUUGGUUGUUUUAUGGAUUGGGAGACUUGAUCAUAUAUUGUUCAUCUUUUGGUUAUUCAAUAUUUGUGCAAUUUCAUGCUUGAUUCCAUUAUUACUUUGUUAUUUUGAUCAAUGUGGCCAGUUGAUUCUUGAUUGCAAGGUAAUAUAUUGUUAGUUUGAAUAAUUUUGAGUCCGUAAUUGCUUGAAUUAUUCAAACACAAGAACACUUAGUGUAAAAAACUAAGGAAAUUGUAUGAUCUAGCAACAUCUCAUGCGUUUGGGUAGCUAGGAUUGGCUCUCUCUAUUUCUUAAUGCAAUUGACAGUUGUUUUGAUGCCUAAGCCCCAAUAAUGUUCCUUGGCAACUUGUUGAUUAGUGAUUAAUUAGAGGACGUUCCCUAAUUGGUUUAUGACUAAGGAGAGACAUGGUGGUGAGAAGCGUUUUCCAUCUCUAUAACUAAUCUAUUGAAUCAAUCAAAAGAACAUAAGUUUCAAUGAUCAAUCCCAACAACUGAAGUGGAUCCAAUUGUUUAACUAGAACUUUCUCAUUAUUGAUUUCUUUUAUUUUAAUUAUUUGCCUUAUUUUAUUGCUUUCAGUCUUAGUUCAAUUAAAUCAAUCUCAAAACCCUCCAUUUUACUUUCAGUUUAUUUGCUUUCAGUUUAUCUCGUUUCAGUUUACUUCUCUUUCAGUUUAUUUUUAUUUCAGUUAAUUCUCUUGGUCUUGAUAAGAAAAAUAGGUAAGUUUUCAAUUCUCUGUGGAUUCGAUCAUUUACCACUAUCACAGUAGUAAUAUUGUUGAUAACCGAAAAGAUUAUUUUUGACCAGUUUCGACAACCGCGAGUCAGAUAUCAAAAUUUAAUACUUUAUUCGCGAAAUGUCAUACAGAAUUCAAAGAGGAUCCCAUGUAUAUCGAUUCUUUUCUUGUCAUUAUGGUUGAAGAUUCAAUGACGAAUCUUUUCGAAGGAGAGAAUGAUACGAUCAAGGAAAUAAUACACUACUUCAAAGAUUUAAAAUGGAAAACUCCAAAUCAUGACAAAUCAAGUUACCAUUGCUUAAUUUAAGGCCUACGAAAUGAUAAUUAUAUUUGGAAAGCAUGGGAGAAUAAGGAAACAAGCCACGCUCUCUUUAGUACAUGUGGACACACAACACAAUUUUAGAUCGCAUAAUGUAUGUGAUACGGAUCUAAUAGGGUAAAUUUCUAACAAUGGUGUGGAGCAAACUUAUGCCAUUCAAAUGGAUCUAAAAGGAGUUCAAAAUCAUAUUCAUAUGAUCCAUAUAUAUUUGGGGCGUGCUUCAACUCAUAUGGGACAAAUUUGGUGCAACACUUGCAAUCAUAGGCUUAGAGAGCCUAAUCAAACCUAUGGGCUAAAACUACACAAAGGGAAGCCUAAAGUGAAGAUCAAGUAAGGUUUUUGUGAAGAUUCAGCUUUGUUAUGAUGGGCUUGCUAUGUUUUAUUAUUUGAACACUUAUUUUAUUUUAGCUUUGUUUGGGCUUGUAUUCUGACCAUAUUUUAUCUUUUAAGUUUUAGAGUGUUGGGCCAUGUUUUGGGCUUAUGUUUUAAUACUUAUGUGUUAUUUUAGUGUGUGAUUGGGCUUGGGCCUUAUGUGUUUAAGUCAGGCCCAAGAAGAGUAUCUUAGGGUUUUAUUUGUUUUUCUCCUUACUAUAUAAGGAUAAGAAACAAUUGUAAGAGGUAGCUUUGAAUCAAAUUAUCAGAAUUAUUUUCAUGCCUUUGGCGUGUAUUGCUUUGAGUGAGAGUGAGGAUUUGCUUUCAUCAAUUGCACCAUGAAUCUCGAUUAACUUAUCAACUAUUUGUUGUGGCGUUUGUCAGAUUCUCAUCUAAAUCCUUCGAUCAUUGGUGUUUCAGCUUCUCUAAGUGUGGGGUGCCAUGGGAGGUGGGUUUAUCAGAUCUUUGGAUUCCAUAUCUACUUGUGCGUGUGGGUUUGAGGCUUGUGCCAUAGGGUUCCGCGUCAGUAUGUAUGGCCAAAUUGCAUUUAGGUCAAUUUUGUUAUUUUGGUAUUUUAGUAUUUUGUGGGAUUUGUUUUAAAUUAAUUUGGCCUAUAUUAGAAGCCAAAUUUGUGCAGCCCAUUUAGGAAAGAGAUUUCUCCAAGAUAAUUUAGGAAAAUGAUCUUUAAUGCAAUCUAGGUUUGACUAUUUGACUAGAUGCACUUUCUAUAUUGUAAUUACACAUUCCUACAAUAGAAUUAGGGUUUGGAGGCUAUAAAAACAUACUUAAGGUGGCAGCCAUAAUAAGCUAAUGAAUAAAGAUGAUUUUAUGAACAAUAUUUGGUUCUUCUCCAUUAUUUAGCAACUUAUCAAAGUUUAAACUUGUGGUGUUCUAAUAUGGAUAUCCUCUAUGCUUAGCUAACUUAUUAAGAAUUUCUUGUAGUGUUCUCAAAGCUGGAAUCGCUUGAUUAUUUAUGUUUCUAAUCACAUUAGUUAGUUAGGGGCGUAGUAGAGCAACCUUCACUCCAUUAUCUAUGUUUCUAAUCACAUUGGUUGGUUAGGAGUGUCGUAGAGCAACCUUCGCUCCAUUAUCUAUGUUUCUAAUCACAUUCAUUGGUUAGGAGUGUAGUAGAGUAACCUUCUGAAAGAUAUCUUUCUCUUGUUCUUUGUCAAGUUGUGUGACAGGAUUUUUUAUCACAUGUUGAUCCUGGGUUCCGCAUCACACCUCUUAUGACACCCCACACUUAAAGAAGUUGAAACACCAAUGAUAGAAGAAUUUAGAUGAGAAUAUAAUAAACGCGACAACAAAUAGUUGAUAAGUUAGCCAAGAUUCUUGAUGCAAUUAAUGAAAGCAAAUAUUUACUCUCACUCAAAGCAACACACGCCAAAGGAAGGAGAAAUCAAAUAAAACUCUAAGACACUCUUCUUAGGUCUAGCCAAACCACAUACAAAGCUAAGCUCAAUCACACACUAAAAACUCAUAAGUAUUUAAACAUAAGCCCAAGAUAUGGCCUAACACUCUAAAACUUAAAAGAUAAAAUAUGCCUAGAAUACAAGCCAAAAUAAAAUAAGUGUUAAAUAAUAAAACACAGUAAGCUCAUCAUAACAAUACUGAAUAAAUUAGACAGCGCCAUCUCCAUUACACACCUCAAGCAAGGUGAGUAGUUUAGGUGUGUCUUUAAGCUCCUGGAGACAUCUGCCAAUGGCAAGCUUAGUCAAUUCUUGUGUUACUUGUUCUUGAAUGUGUAAGUUCAUAGCUGCUUCAAGCUCUUUAGCUUUGCUCCUUGUCACUGGUCCACUAGGAAGUACCAAUGGAUCAUUGCUCCCUUAAUUCUCAUGUAAUUGUGCAUGCUGUUUCAUAUCACUUUGCUCCUUUUUUCUUACCUUUCAUGCUUGUGCUCACAUCAUUAACUCCUAUUGAAGUUUAUGAAGACCAACUCAAGAUGAUAAAACUUCAAUCUUGGAUUUCGAGAUAUGGGGAGAAAAGAAAAAAGAGUAAAGAGGUCGUGAUCGAAAAAAAUAAAUAAAAAGGUUUAAAAGUGAGUAAUUGUACAAAAAAAAGAAUUGAGUACAAAAGAGAGUACUCUAGAGAGUGAAAAUAAGGCGAGUUUCUUUGCAAAAGAAAGAGAGUUGAAGAGAGUUUAUGUUGGUUAUAAAUCACUAGUAUUAAUUAUGAUGCAGAAUUCAUGAUCAACUCGUGAUCAAGAACCUCAAACACACACUUGACAAAGAAUGAUGUAAAGAUAACUUCCGUGAGAUUACUCUACCACAUCCCUAAUUAACCAAUGUGAUUAGAAACGAUGGUAAUUAAACGAUUUCAGAUAGAGAACAUCACUGGAAAUUCUUGAUAAAUUAACUAAGUAUGGAGGAAAUCGAUAUUAAAAUGCCAUAAGGUUGAACCUUACAAAUUUCUAAACAUGAAGAAAAACCAAAGUUCUAAAAAUAAAUUCUCAUGGAGAAAAAUAUUAAAUCUUUACUUAAUUUUGAUUAUUAUGCUUUAUUAUAUUUAUUUAGAAUAAAAAUAUAUUGUUAAUUUAUAUUUUUUAUUUUAAAAAUUUUAAUAACCUAAUAAUAUGUAAUAUUAUAUAAUACUUGUAAAAAAUAAAACGAGUAGAUUAAUAUGCAUGGCACGUUAAUGAAAAAACUAGUAUAUAAAAGUGGAAAAGAGGGGAAAUUGGUAUUUCUAAAAAUACCCUGUUACUUAUAAGAAUUACAAUUUUUUAUUUUUAUUUAAAAAUUUUUACUUUAAUUAUAUAAUUAUGUUAGUAUUUUAUUUAACUAAAAUUGUUAAAAAUAAUAUUAAAAAAUUAACUAAAAUAAAAAAAUGUAUCUAAAAAAUCAUAAAUUUUUUUUAGUGAUGUAUAUUUGAAGUUGUUGCUAAUAAUAAAGGUAGUGACAAUAAUGUGUCGCUAAAACAUUGAUAAAUAAAAUUUUUUUAUUGCUAUAAGUAAAUUAUAUUUUAAAAUAUUUAAUGAUAAAAUUCCUGUUGCUAAUUUUUAGAGAUUAACAAUGAUUUCUUAAAUCAAUAAUUUUAAUUGGUUAAAAUGAAUUUUAUUUAUGAUUUCUUAUUAUACUAAAAUUUUAUCAUUUUUAUGGGUACGUCCAUAGUUGAUAUCAUAAUUAUAUUAUAGUAUUAUAAUUCUUCUCAAACUCUAAUUUUUAAUUAUUCAAAUUUUGUAGUCUUUAAAAUUAGAUUUUUUUUUCAAUAUUUUAUUAAAGAUUUUUUAAUACUUUUUAUUAGAAAUUGCUUUAUAACGUUAAUCCGUAUAUUAUUAUGAUUUUUUUAAAAAAAAAAAAUUGAUAAGGAAGAAAAAAAGAGAUUAUAGAGUUUGUUAUUGGAGUUUGGCUUUUAGAGUGAAGCAAACUUCAUACAAAAUUUGAAAUUAUCUUUUUUAUUCUGUUACUAAAAAAUCACUUAAACAUCUCACAUGAUUUAGUUCACAUAAUUUUUAUAUUUAAAUUGAAAUUACACUUAAUUUAUUUUAAUUUAACAAUUAUGCUUUAUUAAACUUUUAAUAACAUAAUAAUAUGUAAUAUUACAUAAUAUUAUAAAUAAAAAAUAAAGAGUAUAAUAUUAUGCAUUGCACACUAAUAAAAAAAAUUAGUAACUGAAAAACAUGCUAAUAAGAUUAGAAAGAUAAGCUUACUCUAAAAAAAAAAGUAAAGUUGGCCUAAAAUAUAUAAAUAAUAUAUUAAUUCAUUUAUAAAUAAGUCCUAUGAAUUGGCGAUGGUAAUCCCACAUAAGAAAAUUGUAAAAAUCGAAUUUUUUUUAAAUAAAUAUUUUUUAACAUUUGCAGUCCUUAGUAAAUUAACAUAAAAAAUAUUUUUUUUAAAAAAAAAUUAAGACAUUUAAAUCUUUUUUUAAAAAAAAGAAAAGUCUGUUUUUACCCUUUACAUAUAAAUUUAUUAAAUUAAAAUUAAAUAAUAGAAAGACAAAUUAUUUUUUAAAACAUACUUUUCAAACGCCAUAAAAAUUUUCCUUCAAGCAAAAUACCAAUCGCUUUCGUGUAGCUGUGGGUCUUCGGCCUUCCUUCAGACAAAAAUAAAGAGAAAAAAGGAUUGAAAGGGCUUGAUCAAAAUUCUUCUUCCAUUUCCUUUUUCCUUCACUCCCUCCUACCUUCUCCUCAACGCGAUUCGUGUAAUUUCAGGAGGAAGGUCGUGUCUCAUAAUAUAUUGAUCUGAUCUUAACUGAUAUUCGCGCUCAUGGCCACCGCCGGAAACAAGAACAUCAAUGCUAAAUUGGUGAGUUUCUGCUUAAUUUUUCGUUUUUGUUUUGAGGUGUUUAUAUGCUUUUACGCGUUAUUAUGAUGAACAAUCUUUUAGUUGUAUUAUUACGGAGUUCUGAUGUUGGUUUUGCGUCCUUUUGUACAAUUUGAUCUCAACCUAUGUUUUUGUUCAAAUCCAGAUUGGUUUUUCUUGUUAAGUUUUUUUAAUUAUCACCUAUUCUUUUUUUUUUUUUGGUAUAUAAAUUAUUUCAAUUCUUAUAUAUGUUUUCAAUUUCCAUUACUAUUACUUGGUUUGUCUUCAAAAGGAUAUAUUUUACUGAUGGUGCUAAUAUUGGUAUUCAUUUUCUGGGAUUAUAUAUGUUUUUACUAUUUAUUAUGUAAAUUCUGGAGUGGAUUUACAUUAACUUUUAGGGGUAUUAUAUGAAUUGUGCAUAAGAAAAUAAAUGAAAGUGUAGGAAAUUUCUAUGUUUGGAAGUUUGAAGGAUAAGAACAGAGUUGAAGUGUUAAGAGCAUAAUAGUGAUGUUCAAACAAUAAUCAGGAGGGUUACUCUUUAUCUCUUAAAUUUGAUGGGAAGGUAAAGUCAGGUUUGAGGAAGAGAUUUAUCCUUGUCCUUUCUUUUCUCACAUAAAACUCCCAAACAAAGGAUACCCAUUUUCCAAACUAAGUGUGAAUGUCUUAGGGCAACUCAACUCAGUUGAACUAGGUCUUAAAGCUAAAUUACGUAUGGAAUCUUCAAACUUCUUUUGCAUAUUUAUGAGUGGCCGUAUCUUAAGGAUGAAUGAAAUCGGGUGCUUAAAAUGGAUGACAAAGCAGCUGUCUGCAAUUUUUCCCUUUACCCACCAAUAGAUUGCUUCUUCAAGUUCUGGUACUUGAUUAUUUCUUUUCAAAUGCCAUUAUUUUGAUUAUUGUAUGGUAUUGUCUUGUCUAACGAGAAAUUACAUAAUUUCAUAUUCGUUAUUUACUCUUAUGAAGAUUGUGGUUUGUAUCCUAGCAUCAGAUCAUCUUAAGGAUAGCAUUUAGAUUUUCCUUUUCUCUUUCUUCUUUCUUUCUCUUUCCAUUCAUUUUGAAUUUGAGAAUGGUGUUGAAGGGUCUCUUUGUAUGUUUUACUCUUUUUGGGACGUUUGUUUGUUCCAAAAGCACCAAAAAGCAGGUCUUAAUUUGCUGGAAAGCUGGCUGUAAGCAUGAUCAUUUCUUUUUACAGCAUCUUGUUGGAAAUACAUCCUUUAAUCUUUCCAUUUACCUCUAUUAGUACAUUGUGGGCACUGCCACUGUCAUUUUUUAAGUUGUUUUAAAGAGGUCCUUGAUUUGUCAGCGGCUAGACAUGAUAAAUAAAGGCCCUCAAGUUGAUUACACUGUGGAUUUGCAAAAUCUGUGUUUCCAUUGAAAACGAUGAUGAAAAAAGAAGAGGGAAGCAGAAGCUUUGAGAGAAAAAUGCUUGAUGAUUCCCCUUAAGCCAAUUGGGGUAUAUAUUCUACUUAUAAGAAUACAUACUUGUAAUACACAUUAGGUAAGUAAAUAAAUUGAUUCCCUAUUAUAGCCUAAUCAUAUCCCAAUUAUAUCACACAAUCAUAUCCGUAAUUAUAUAUACAAUCACUACAAAUCUAGGCUAUUUACAGAAAGUAUCUCAACACUCCCUCUCAUGCUGGAGCGUACAUGUCGUAUGCUCCAAACUUGUUACAAAUAUCAUAUGCUCCAAACUUGUUACAAAUAUACUCGAUUCGUGAACCCUGAAGAGAUUUUGUGAAACCAUCAGCUAGUUAAUCAUUUGAGUUGACAAAGCUAGUAGAAAUGCAUUCCGACUCAAUCUUUUGCCUAAUAAAAUGGCAAUCCACCUCUAUAUGCUUCAUUCUCUCAUGAAAAAUUGGAUUUAAUACAAUAUGGAGAGCAGCUUGAUUAUCACAUAUCAGUUUCAUUUGGCUUGUAUCGUUAUAUUUCAAUUCUUGAAGGAGUUGCUUCAACCAAAUGAGUUCGUAUGUUGCCAAAGCUAUAGCUCGAUUUUCUACUUCUGCACUUGAUCUUGCAACUACACCCUAUUUUUUACUUUUCCCGGAUAUAAGAUUUCCUCCAAUCAUAAUACAAUAUCCUGAAAUAGAUCAUCUAUCUGAAGGAGAAUCUGCUCAAUCUGUAUCAGAAUAGCCAAUAAUUUGUGAGUGACCCUUGUCCUCAUAGAUUAGACCCUGUCAUGGAGCCCCUUUGAUAUAUCUAAGAAUGCGAAUGACUGCAUUCCAGUGACUACUGUAUGGAGUUCGAAGAAAUUGACUAACCACACCUUACAGCAAAGGAAAUAUAUGGUCGAGUGAUUGUGAGAUAAUUGAGCUUGCCGACUAAUCUUUUGUAUCUAGCAGGAUUUUUAAGUGGCUCCCACUGUUCAGGAACCAAUUUGACAUUUGGAUCCAUAGGAGUGUCCAUAUGUCUAUAGUCUAACAUGUCUGUUUCUUCUAAUAUAUCCAAAGUAUAUUUUGGUUGAGAACUUGUAAUACCUGUUUUAGACUGUGCCACUUCAAUCCCCAGGAAAUACUUCAAUUUUUCUAGGUCUUUAGUUUGGAAAUGACUGAACAAAUAUUGCUUAAGCUGAGAGAUUCUAUCAUGAUCAUUUCUUGUAAUGACAAUAUCAUCAACAUAGACCACUAAGUAGAUGCAUCUAUCGUUAUUAUGACGAAAAAAUACGGAAUGAUCAGAAUUACUUCGAGACAUUCCAAACUGUUGAACUACAGUGCUCAAUCGUCUAAACCAUGCUCUUGGAGACUGUUUUAGACCAUACAAGGAGCAUCGAAGACAACAUAUUAAGUCUGAUUCCCCUGAGCAACAAACUCUGGAGGUUGCUCCAUAUAGACUUUUUCAGUGAGCUCACCACGAAGAAAGGCAUUUUUAAUGUCCAGAUGAUGAAGGGCCUAAUGAUUAAUGAGAUAAAGAGGCGAACAAAAACUAUUUUGGUUACUGGAGAGAAAGUAUCACUGUAAUCAAAUCCAAAAAUCUGUGUGUAACUUUAGCUACAAGGCGAGCUUUAAGACGAUCAAUUUUUCUAUCAGGUCCCACCUUAACUAUGUAAACCCAGCAACAACUAAUAGUAGACUUGCCAGGUGGUAAAGAUACGAGUUCCCAAGUUCCAUUAUUAUGAAGAGCAGUCAUCUAUUCCACCAUUGCAUUACACCAACCGAGAUGAUCCAAUGCUUCUCUAACUGUCUUGGGAAUAGAAACAGUUGACACGGUGGAAAUAAAAGUAUAAUAGGAAGGAGACAAACGAUAGUAACUCACAAAAUUAUAAAUGAGAUAAGGAUUCAAGAAGAGCGAAUACCUUUUUGGAGAGCAAAAGGAGUAGCUGCUGCUACUGAAAGCAUGACCGAAGUAGGUGAUGAUGAAACUGGAGGUGAGUCAUUAGAAGUACCUGCAUCAGGGAGGGAGGUAUCAUUGUUAUUAGCAGAUGGGUCAGGCCGAUGUGUGUAGACUUGAAGAGGUGUAGGAGUGGGAGAUGGAACUAUGGAGAGCAGCAACAUGAAUUUAUAAAUGGAACUAUGGAGAGCAGCAACAUGAAUUUUUUUAAAAAAAGCAAUUGGCAGCAUUCCAGCACCAUUCUGGCCAUGGGAGAGAAGUGGAAAAGGAGAAAGAGAAGGGGAAAAGGAGAAAGUGAAGAGGAAAAGGAGAAAGAGAAGGCAGAAUGAGAAGAUAAUAAAAAAAUAGAAAAGAAAGGAGAAUAAUAAACUCAAAAGAAAAAGAAGAAAAAUUAUUUAUUUGGUAUUUGUUGAUCAUUGAUUCUUGAAAAUUUUGAUCUUUUCUUCAUCUUCUUCUUUGAUUUUUCUUCCUCUUUUCCUUUUCUUUUUUGCUCUUUUUCUUUCUCUUGCCUCUGCUACUUUAGAUACUCUUUGCUGGAGAUUUGUGUGUAAUCUUUGUUUCAGCAAGUAUUUAAUACUUUCAUAAUUAGUUUUGAUGAAGAACUAACCUUGCUUCAAAUAGCGCCUCCAUUUGUUGACAACAAAUGUGAUUGCUAACAAGUUUUUUUCAUAAAAUGACGUGGCCUUGCUUCUAGGUCCAAAGACUUUAGAGAUGAAGGCUUUUGUGAAUCUGGCUUUAGCAUUCUGAUAAGUAAGGAAUAAAGAAGUAUUGGAUUAGUUUAUGCAAUCAGUUGUAAUUGUAGCUUUUAGUAGUGGCACCCAAAGUAGUAUAAAUAGUAACUUGUAAGCAAUUAAAAAUAAACUCUUUGUCUCUAUUUUUUCUCUCUCCUCUUCUCUAAUUCUCUCUAUUACUUCUCUCAUUUUUAUUUCUUUUCUCAAACCAAUCUACUUCUCUCUCUCACUCUCUCUCCCUAUUUCUCUGUUUCAAAGGGAAUUACAAGUUUGUAACAUAACAAUUGGUAUUAGAGCCGUUAGAUUAGUGGGCAACUACAGGAAAUUGUUUCAGGGGAGUUGCAUCUAUGGCAGAUCAGUGGUAGUCUUCCCAAAUACCAAGUUAUUUUUGUUAUUUUCUCUUCCUCUCUUCUUUCCUCCUUUUCUGAGAUUUCUUCCUUCUUUCUUACUUUUCUGAUCUACACUCUUCCUCCCUUCUUCCAUCUCUCCUUUAUUCACAUUCUUUUCUUGGAAUUCUUCUUCUUCCCACUUUCUUGAUUUUCCCUGAAAAUUUCCUCCUCGAGUUUCCAUUUUACUUCCUGAAAAUCAGAUUACUCUUUCUUGAUUUUCUUUGUUUUCUUGAAAUUCUUGAAUCAUGGAAGUGCAGUAUUUGACACAAAUUUUUCUUGAGUUCAAGAAAUUCUAGAUAGAAGAUUGGAAGAACAAAAGAAAUUCUAGAUAGAAGAUUGGAAGAACAAAAGGAGCAGUUGGAACAGAAAUUCGAAAAAGUGAUUCAGAAAAUAGGAAGUUUAGAUGAGAAAAUGGAAAGAUUUGAGUAAUCAAUUCAAGUGACGGGAAAAAAUUGCAGUCUUGAUGAAUGAAGUUCAAAUUUUUUAGAAGCCUAGUGAAGAGCAAGAUGUCUCAUGUCAAACUUCUAAUAAGAAAGACAAAGCUAUUGAGGAGGAGCAGGAGCUUUUUGUUGACAUGUCUAUUGUAAGUGAGAUCAAUGAGGAGAAGAAUGAUGAAGAUGUUGAUGAUGGGCAACUAGAGUCUGAAAUGAGGACAAUAUUAGUUGAAUAUGAAAUGUUAGCACAAUUCAGUCCCAAAACUGAGAUUUUUGCUACUGAAAUAUUGGAAAUGUUCUUGGAGAAAAGAAAGAUAAAGGUGUUACAAAAGGUGUGGGUGUUGGAAACAUGUGGCAUAGUUUUUGGAGCCAAGAUGAUGAGUACAGCGGUUGCCAUCCUGGGAUGCUUAUGGAAGAUAAAUGGGAAAUAGAAAGAAGAGAAAGGAAGAAGGUUAUGACAUCAAAUUUUCUUCAAGGAGCAAGCAUGGGAAAUUUGGAGAAGGAAAAGGAAGAAAGUUUAGCAUCUCCAGCCAAACUUUAUGGGUCAUUUCAGCUGAAGAAGAAAAAGGGAAAAAAAAAAAUUCCUUGUCAAUAAGAGUUCAUAAAAACACCCACAACUUUAGCCCAACUUUCUAGAACAUUUCAGCUGAAGCACAUGUUGGAAGUUAACAUUUGGGGUUCUAAAUUCAGGGGAUUAACUGACUAGCAAAAGCCACUGUGUGGGACUUUCACAUCCUUCUGACCAAGUCUGAGGAAAGUAACAACAGAAACUCAUUUCAGUUUUCAGCAUUUUCUUCAUUCUUGAGGACAAGAAUGAUUUCAAGGGGUGGGGAAUGUUAUGAGUAAGGAAUAAAGAAGUAUUGGAUUAGUCUUUGUAGUCAGUUGUAAUGGUAGAAAGUAGUUGUGGCGCCCAAAGUAGUAUAAAUAGGAACUUACUUGUAAAGAUAAAGAUGUCCAUGAUCAUUAGAAAUCAAAGAUAAACUCUUUCUCUCUAUUUUUUUCUCUCCUCUUCUCUAAUUCUCUCUAUUACUUCUCCCAUUUCUAUUUCUUUUCUCAACCCAAUCUACUUCUCUCUCUUUCUUCUCCUAUUUCUCUGUUUCAAAUGGAAUUACAAGUCUGUCAGACUGUCACAUAACACAUUCUUACCAUCAAUCUAAUUUCAUCCUUCAAUCCUCCUACAAAACUGGAUAAGAAAUAACCCUCCUUCAAUUUGGGUAUAUGUCUCUCCAUUCUCACGCUUAGUUCCUUAAAUGCAAUAUUCCUCCACAGUCCACAGUCCCUUCUUACCUUAACCUAUUGAAUUCUUCUAUAACCUCUUCUAAACCCUGUUCUCCGAAUCCAUUACAGAUUGCUCUUUCAAAUUCUUCCCAAGAAUGACCUUCCCCCUUAUUCCAAUCAUGAAACCAAGCAUCAGCCUUGUCCAUCAGUAAUCGACAGGCUACAUUAAUUUUUUGAUCAUUAGGAAUCUUGUAAAUCUCAAACUACUUCACAUAUUUUCUUAGCCAUGCUCUGGGUUCUUCACCAAUGAAAUUAUACAAUUCAAGUUUGGGUAAAAGGGAUUGCAUACCUUCUGUGAUCAACAUAAUGUUUGGGUUAGGUACGAGACCUCUGUUAUCCCUUGAAUUAGUUUGGAGAUUAACACGAUUUCCCGCUGAUAGGGGACUCUGUUGUCCUCGUGAUUGACUUAGGGAUUUCCAGGAUUUCCCGCUACUGGCUUCUUUGUUCUUCUUCUUGGCUAAUUUCUCAGCCAUCAUCUUCACCAUGUAGGAUCGCAAUUCUUCCAAGAUCAUAUUGUUCUCUUUAUUGGUCUUUCUUACUUCUUCCUUGAAAUCUUUCAAUUCUUCACCAUUUUUCUAUGUUGCCUCCUGCAAGUUUCGCAAUUGUUCUUCCAUUUUGGCAAUUCUCACCAUUUCUUGACUUACUAUAAGGGAUCUGGUCAUUUUGCCCUAGAAAAGAUUCUUCCACUGCCGUCGGAAAGCAAGCCCUAAUACCAAUUGUUAGGUUUCGUCCUAACAGUACCGAACUUUAUGAGAGUUAGAGUAGAAAUUAGAAGUAGAGGAAGGGAGUUGAGGGAAAGAGAGAAGAAAAAGGAUGCGGGAAGAGAGUGUGGAAGGAUAAUAUUUGUUGUAUAUAACAAUAGAGAUUACAAUCUAUUUAUACAUGAGAGUCGGUAUCUAAACAGGAAGGAAAACUAAGCCUAUGAUUAUACAAUCCCUAAGAUUAAGCAACUGACCCAUCUAUCAAUAUUUACUUCCUAUAUUAACAUAUUUACUUUCUAUAACCUAUAACACUCCCCUCAAGUUGGAGCAUAAAUGUUAAUUAUGCCCAACUUGUUACAUAUAUAAUCAACUCGAGUCCCAUUUAGAGCUUUAAUGAAGAUAUCUCCUAAUUGUUCUUCAGUUCGGAUAUGUCCUGUUGAUAUUAUCUUUUGUUGGACUUUUUCACGAACAAAAUGACAAUCAAUCUCGAUGUGUUUAGUCCUCUCGUGAAAUACUGGAUUGGAGGCAAUGUAGAUAGCUGCUUGAUUAUCACACCACAACUUAGUAGGUACCGAAUUUGUGAACCCAACUUCUUCCAAUAGUUGACGUACCCACAAGACUUCACAAACGGCUUGUGCCAUGGCUCGAUAUUCAGAUUCAACACUAGAAUGAGAGACUAUAUUUUACUUCUUACUUUUCCAUGAGACCAAGUUACCUUCCACAAAUACACAAUACCCAGUAGUUGACCUCCUAUUAACUUUCGAGCCUGUCCAAUCAGCAUCAGAAAAGCAUUCAAUAUUUGAGUGCUCAUGGUUAUCAUAGAAUAGGCCUCGCCUUGGAGCCCUUUUAAGGUAACAAAGAAUCUGUCCCAAAGUGACGCGGAACCUUAUGGCACAAGCCUCAAACCCACAUGCACAAAUAGAUAUGGAAUCCAAAGAUUUGAUAAACCCACCUCCUAUGGCAUCCCACACUUAGAUAAGCUGAAACACCAAUGAUUGAAGGAUUUAGAUAAGAAUCCGACAAACGCCACAACGAAUAGUUGAUAAGUUUGCCAAGAUUCUUGGUGCAAUUGAUGAAAGUAAAUCCUCACUCUCACUCAAAACAAUACACGCCAAAGGCAUGAAAAUAAUUCUGAAAAUUUAGAUUCAAAGCUGCCUCUUACAAGUGUUUCUUAUCCUUAUAUACUAAGGAGAGAAAAUAAAACUCUAAGACACUCUUUUUAGAUUUGACCAAACUACACACAAGACCUAAGUCCAAUCACACGCUAAAAUAACACAUCAAAUACAUAAGUGUAAAAACAUAAGCCCAAAACAUGGCCUAAUACUCUAAAACUUAAAAGAUAAAAUAUGGUCAGAAUACAAGUCCAAACAAAGCUAAAAUAAAACAAGUGUUUAAAUAAUAAAACAAAGUAAGCCCAUCAUAACAAAACUGAAUUUUCACAAAAGCCUUUCUUGAUCUUCACUUUAGGCUUCCCUUUGUGUAGUUUUAGCCCAUAGGUUUGAUUAGGCUCCCUAAGCCUAUGCUUGCAAGGGUUGCACCAAAUCUGCUCCAUAUGAGUUGAAGCACGCCCCAAAUAUAUAUGGAUCAUAUGAAUAUGAUUUUGAACUCCUUUUAGAUCCAUUUGAAUGACAUAAGUUUGCCCUACACCAUUGUUAGAAAUUUGUCCUAUUAGAUCCGUAUCAUUCUUCUUUAGAAAAGAUUCGUCCUCGAAUCUUGCUGAUAUUUAUGUCAAGAAGGGAAGUUUUAGGAACCCAUGUAUAUUCAAAGACCUCCUCUUGAAUAGGUGGAAAUCGCAUAAAACUUUCCUUAUAGAUGUUUUCAUCAACAACCUGCACAUCAAGAACAAAUGAACCAGUCAUAGAAAGAUCCUGUGGAUGUGACACAUUCUCCUCUACAACUUCCAAAACAGUCUCAUUCGCCUCCUCCACCUCAUCAAUCACGUGCUCCCUAUGUCCACCAUCAUUCACAACCUCUUCUAUAAGCUCAUUGAUGGAAUUUUCAACAACUACAUUAGAUUCAUGCAUUACAAAUUCCUCUUCAAUUUCAAUCUCUAUGGAAGUUGAGAUUGGAACUUUAGCCUCUUCUUUCUCCUUUUCUUUCUCCAUCUUCCCUCCUUGAUCUAGUGUUGAUUCCUUUCCAGCCUCUUUACCUUCAGACUCACUCUUUUCUCUCAUUUUUUCUGCAGAACUCAAGCUCUCACUCUCCUUUGUAGCCAAGGCCGAAGCCUCCCUCUCCCUCUCCAGCAUCUUUAUUUGAUCAGCAUAUACCUCUUGAGGUGAUAAAGGAGCGAGUAUAACCUUCUGUCCUUCAUGAGUGAAGGAGUACACUUUAUUGAACCCAUCAUGUUGCACCUUUCUAUCAUAUUGCCACGGCCUACCCAACAACAUAUGACUUGCCUGCAUAGGUACCACAUCACACAAGAUCUCAUCCUUGUACCUACCAAUAGAAAAUGGUAUAGCCACCUGGCUUGUAACCCUAACCUCACCACAAUCGUUCAACCAUUGCAAUCUGUAUGGCUUAGGUAUUUAAUAGAAGCCAAGCUCAAUUUCUCCACCAUAUACACACUAGCCACAUUUGUGCAACUACCUCCAUCAAUAAUGAGAGUACAAACUUUUCCAUUAACCAAACACCUAGUGUGAAAUAUGUUUUCUCGUUGUUCAAAGCUUUCUUCCUUAACCUGCAUAUUCAGAGCACGCCUAGCAACAAGCAUCUCACCAUGUUCAGCAAGCAACGUAUUAUCAACAAACACAUCCGAAUCAUCACAGUUAUUAUUGCAAUUAAGAGUUCUUUGAGAUAUUCUUGUAGAAGAGGAAGCUUGUGAGACAUUCAAACUCUCCAUAGUUUCAGUCAACCUCUCAAGAGUCUUAUAAAAUCUUCUAAACUCACCACUAACUGACUUUUUGAAGAGCUUAUAAUCACUAGCUAUGUCGCAUUCACUUUCAUCAUCUCGAUCCACCACAUUUUUAUAUUUACUCAUCCUGCCUUAAAUCAAUAAAGAACAAAGAGAACUAGCAAAUAUGGUGUUAGAAAUAAAAGCACUCAAGUGUUUGCACUCUUACCAAUUUUUUGCUGAUUCUUCAAUUGCACUUCAGAAACUAAGGUCAACCAACCAAUCACAAGGUGUGAUUAAUGAAACAAAGAAGAAAACCUAAAAAAAGCAGGAAGCGCGUAAAAACUAAAAAGAAGACACUGACAAUUUGGAAAGUAACACAAGAACUAUGUUUUGUGCUACGUGAAAAAUAUCACCUAGAGUAUAGACACAAGCAAACAAUACGCCAGCAAUGUCAAGGAAGUAAAAGCAAGCUUAAACCAAAAAAAGAAACUUAGAAUUCAAAUAAAAACGAAUCUGGACAAAAGUUUAAAUUUAAUUCACUUCAAUGCAAAUUAAAUAUGGAUCUAUUUAAAUCUAUCCAAAAAGGCAAGUAUCAAAACCUCACAAAUAGAAUUAGAAAAAAAAAAUUUAGAUUUCACUCAAUUCAACAUCAUGGACGAAAAUGCUGGUGUUAAAAGAAGGAUUUGACAUCAAAUCAAUUUAGAUGCAAUUGCCUUAAAUGUGACUUUAGGAAAUAGGCAGAAUUUCUUUUGUCUCCUAAUCUGGAUUCAACCCAAUUCAAAAUUGAUUCCCAUAAAUUACAGCAAUCAAUUGAGAUAGGUAAGGCAAUAUAGAUGAAAAAGGAAGCAUAUCACAAUUUCGGCCAGAUCAAGAUAAGUAAGGCAAAGGCGAUUUUUUAUUUAUUUAUUUUUUUAUGGAUUUCGAUUUUUUUUGUGAUGAUUAAUAAUCAAGAAGGUGCAGCCAUGGACACUCAAGCUUUCACUGAAAUCAACAACGAAGAAAAGGAAAACUAAAAAAAAAAAUCCUAGAUCCUAAGAUAAAUAAGAAUUUACCUCACUUUGGCUCUGAUACCAACUGACGCGGAACCCUAUGGCACAAGCCUCAAACCCACACGCACAAGUAGAUAUGGAAUCCAAAGAUUUGAUAAACCCACCUCCUAUGGCUUGCCAACUAAUCUUCUAUACCUUUCAGGAUCUGCAAAUGGCUCACUGUCUUCUGUGGUAAGUUGAAGGUUAGGGGUCAUUGGGGCACUACAAGGCUUAGCACCCAAUUUUCCUGUUUCUGCUAACAAAUUAAGAACAUAUUUUCUUUGAGAUAAGAAGAUGUCUUUCUUACACUGCAUAACUUAGAUUCCCAAGAAAUAUUUCAAUGAACCUAAAGCCUUUGUAUGAAACUAUGUUUUAAGAAAUUCUUUUAGGGAUGUGAUGCCAGCAAUGUCACUUCCUGUGAUAACGAUAUCAUCCACAUAUACUACAAGCAGAAUUACUCGACUAUCAGAGUUUCUAUAAAGAGUGAUCACACUUACUCAUCUUCAUUCCAAACUGUUGGACCACCUCUCUAAACCUGCCAAACCAUGCUCGAGGACUCUGUUUCAAGCCAUAAAGGGAUUUUUGAAGUCUACAAACCUUGCCUGACUCCCCUGAGCAACAAAACCAGGUGGUUGCUCAAUAUAAACCUCCUUCUGAGGAUCACCAUGAAGAAAAGCAUUUUUAAUAUCCAGUUGUUGUAAAGGCCAAUCAUGUGUAGCUGCCAAGGAAAUAAACAAUCGAACAGAUGCGAGCUUGGCAACUGGGGAAAAUGUAUCAGAAUAGUCAACUCCAUAAGUUUGUGCAUAACCUUUGGCCACUAAAUGGGCCUUGAGGCGAGCAACAGAUCCAUCAGAAUUUACUUUAACUGCAAACACCCAUUUGUACCUAAUAUUCCGCUUUCCUGGGGACAAGGACAUUAACUCCCAAGUACCAUUAGUGUCAAGGGCCAUCAUUUCCUCUUCCAUUGCAGCACGACAACCAGUAUGGGACAAAGCCUCAAUAGCAGUUUUGGGAACUGAAAUAGAAUCUAAAGCAGUAGCAAAACAACGAGAAGAAGGGGAUAAUUGAUCAUAAGAGACACAAGCUGAAAUAGGAUAAGUGCAAGUAUGUUUACCUUUGCGAAGAGCAAUGGGCAAAUCCAAAUCAGACAGUGAAGGAUCAGUGGGAGUAGGAUUUGUCGACGAAGAAGCGGGUAGCGGAGCGAAGUCAAAGUCCUCUAAGCGACUGGAAUAUUUAUGAAAGAUGGGAGGGCGACCUGACACAUGAGCGAAAGGUGUAGGAGUAGUAUGAGGAGACAGAGAGCGAACAAUGUAUAACAAGAGGUCAUCUUCCUCCCUCUGGGUGUUAUAAACAGAUGAUGGCGGGAAAAACGGAGUGGACUCAAAGAAUGUUACAUCCGUAGACACAAGAUACCGAUUCAGAUCAGGAAAAAAAAAGAUACUCUUUCUGACGUCGAGAGUAGCUAAGGAAGACACAUUUGAGUGAUUUGGGAUCCAAUUUAGUAACCUGUGAACGAAUAUCACGAACAAAACAAGUACACCCAAAGAUACGUGGCUCAAUAGGAAACAAAGAUUUAGUGGGAAACAAAAUGUUAUAAGGGAUAUCACCAUGAAGGAUGGAGGAAGGCAUGCGAUUGAUCAAAAAACAAGCAGUGAUACAGCAUCAGUCCAAAAACAUUUAGGUACUUUCAUUUGGAAUAAGAGGGCUCUAGCUACUUUAAGAAGAUGUCGAUUUUUUCUUUCGGCAACUCCAUUUUGUGAAGGAGUGUCAACACAAGAGGACUGAUGAAGAAUCCCUUUUUGUAACAAAUAAGAUUGAAAUUCCCCAGAGAGAUACUUUUUAGCAUUAUCACUUUGCAAUAUACGAAUGAGAAUAUUGAAUUGGGUUUGGAUUUCAGCAUAAAAUGCACAAAAGAUGGAAAAUAAUUUUGAACGACUCUUCAUUAAAAAUAACUAAGUAGUACGAGAGUAAUCAUCAACAAAAGUAACAAAGUACUUAAAGCCAGAUUUAGGCACAGUAGGACAAGGACCCCAAACAUCUGAAUGUACUAACUCAAAGGGGACGAAGCCCGUUUAUUGACUCGAGACACUGAAGGUAAACGAUGAUGUUUGGCAAAUUGACAAGACUCACAAUCUAAAACAGACAAAGAAUGAAACUGUGGAUAUAACAUCUUCAAAGCCGAGAGAGAAGGAUGCUCCAAACGACAAUGAACAUCAAAAGGUGUUAAACGCGUGGAACAUGCAAGAGAUCUAGGUAGUUGCUAAUCCAAGACAUAGAGACCCUCUGACUCACGCCCUCUACCAAUAAUUUGCUUCAUCAAAAGAUCCUGAAAAAUACAGUGAUCAGGAAAGAAUGAGACGCAACAAUUCAAUGUAUGAGUGAGUUUACUAACAGAAAGCAAAUUAAACACGAACUUAGGGAGACAUAACACAGAGGAUACAGAAAGAGAAGGGGUUAAGUUGACAUGACCAGAACCCAUAACAAAAGAUUUAGUACAUCAGCAAGAGUAACAUAAGAAGCCGAUGUAUGAGACUCAAGAUUGGACAAAAGGGUAGAAUUACCUGACAUAUGAUCGGUAGCACCAGAAUCAAUAACCUUAGAGGAUGAAGACACAAGACAUGCAGUAGAGUUACUUGACUCCGCAAUUGCAGUUGUUGAGAUUAUUUCUGUAUAUUGAGAUUAUUUUUGUAAAUAGCCUACAUUUGUAGUCAUAAUUAGGGAUAUGAUUGUGUGAUAUGAUUGGAAUAUGAUUAGGCUAUAAUUAGGGAAUUAAUUUAUUUUCUUACCUAGUAUGUACUCUUGUAAGUCAAGUAGUAUAUAUACCCCAAUUGGCUUGAUGUGAAUAAUCAAGUAUUUUCUCUCAAAUCUUCUACUCUCUUUUUCUUCUUUUCAUCAAAGUUUCAUGGUAUCGAGCCAAGAAAUUUGGUUCACCUUUGAGUGGCAGAUCUGCCACCUUACUUUGGUAACUUUCUGGAAAUCAGUUAGUCUCACCACUCAGCCGAUUCCCUAAGCCAGUCUCCGAUCUAUUUUUCGGCGAAGCACCGCCUCCAGACGCGCCUCCACGCGCCACCCUGCACAGCUUUCUUCCGGCCACGCACCGACGCUUGCACCAUUUUCUGGCGAGUUUUUCACGCCGGCGAUUCUUCUCCUAGCUUCGCCCAGCGCCGGCGACCACAGCCCAGUAGGUCCGGUCGUCAGAUCAGCUUGCCUUCACAUGUCCGUCAUCCACGCGCGGACGCAUGCACAUCCUCCGGCGACCGUUUCACACCGGCGACUCUUCCUCCAGCAUUGCCCGACGUCGGCGACCCCAGCCCAGUAGGUCCGGUCGUCAAAUUUACUGUUCACAGGCGUUUUUUUUGUGCAUAUUCGGCUCCUUUGUGCAGAUUCGGGUCCCUACUUGGUCCCUUGUUGUUUCAGAAUCUCUCUCGACAUGUCUGAGAAGCAAAACACCCUCAAUACAGGUUCCGAGUCUUUUAAACCUGUCGUUUCAAUUGCUACGAUUAAGUUGCAAGGGAAUAAUAAUUAUGUGUCUUGGGCUGCAUCCGUAGAAUUAUGGUUUGUAGGACAGGGGUAUGAUGAUCAUUUAACAAAAAAUGUCACUGAUAUCACUGUCACUGAUAGACCCAACUGGGUUAAGAUUGAUGCUCAACUAUGUAGUCUUUUAUGGCAUUCGUUAGAUCCAAAAUUGCUUGCUUUGUUUCAAUCUUGCAAAACUUGUUGUAAGGAUUGGACUGAGGCCAAAACAUUGUAUACUAAUGAUAUACAACGCAUCUAUAAGGUUGUGUCAGAUAUGGUUCACUUACAACAAAAUCAUCAGGAUAUGGCUAGUUACUUGGGUCAAGUAGAAACUCUGAAAGAUGAAUUUAAUUCUCUUAUGCCCCUUACUAAUGAUGUUGAUGCGCAAGAAGGACAACGUGAUAAAUUUUUUAUGGUUUUGGCAUUAAUUGGAUUGCAAUCUGACCUUUGCUCUGUGAAAGAUCAAAUUUUGACUGGUUUAGUUAUUCCAACUUUAGAAGAUGUGUCAGCUAGGCUCUUACAUAUUUCCCUUAGUAAGAGUGAUGCUACAGAUAUGGAAUCCUCAGUUUUGGCUGUACAAGGAAAUCAAGGACAAGGAGGCAAUCGCAAAGGUAAAGGAAAUAAAUUUCAUUGCUCCUAUUGUGAUAAAAAAGGUCACACACGGGAUGCAUGUUGGGCACUACAUGGCCGACCACCACUAUCCAAUCAAUCUGAUAAUACUGGCAAGCCGGCAGCCCAUCUUGCCCAAUCUAAUGAAAAAGGUCUGCUUCCACAACCUACCAAUAAAUCUCAGGACCUAAAUUCAAUUACUUUAAUUGGAGAGGACUAUAAAGAAUACUUGCAGUUCCAAGCAGCUAAGCAACAUCCUCCAUCUACCAGCAUUGCUCACUCCGGUGAUUCCUUUGCUUGUCUAAUUAAGUCUUCACCUGUUGGUCCAUGGAUCUUAGACUCUGGCGCUUCUGAUCGCAUCUCUGAUAAUCACAAUCUUUUAUCUACUCUUGUUUCACCUUCUACACCAUCUAAAGUCACCUUAGUUAAUGGUUCACAAACUCAAGUUAAAGGAAUAGGAGAUGUAUAACUUCUUUCUUCUAUUUCCUUAACUAUUGUCUUGUUCACUCCUGAAUGUCCAUAUAAUUUAAUCUCCAUUAGCAAAUUGAUGAAAAAUCUUAAUUGUUCAGUAACAUUUACUGCUGAUUCUGUUGUUGUGCAGGACCGGAGUACUGGGAGAAUGAUUGGAACAGGAUCUGAGUCACAAGGAUUGUACCACCUUUCCACCUCUUCAGUUGCUUUUGUUUCUACCACGUCCGCUGAGCUUAUUCAUAACCGUUUGGGACAUCCUAGUCUUCUCAAAUUGCAGAAAAUUGUCCACAGUCUUUCUUCUUUGUCUUCUUUAUCAUGUGAGUCAUGUCAACUUGGGAAACAAACUCGGGCUUCAUUUCCCAAGCGAGUCAAUAACAGGGGCACUUCGAUGUUUGAUAUUGUUCAUUCAGAUAUUUGGGGUCCAAGUCGUGUCAGUACAACUUUGGGAUUUCAGUAUUUUAUUACUUUUAUUGAUGAUUAUUCUCGUUGCACUUCGUUGUUUUUAAUGAAGAAUCGCUCUAAUUUAUUCUCCAUUUUUCAAAAAUUUUGUGCUGAGAUACAUAAUCAAUUUGGUGUUCGCAUUAAGGUUUUGCGUAGUGAUAAUGCACGAGAAUAUCUUUUCUCCUCUUUUUCUCAUUUCUUGUCUACUCAGGGUAUUACUCACCAGACUUCUUGUGCCCAUACUCAACAAAAUGGUGUUGCCGAGCGCAAAAAUCGGCAUUUGAUUGAAACCACCCGCACCUUACUCAUGCAUCAUAAUGUUCCGCUGCGUUUUUGGAGCGAGGUGGUCCUUACUUCCUACUACUUGAUCAACUGUAUGCCUUCCUCUGUUUGCAGCAUCAGAGUCCUUAUUCGGUUCUCUUUCCUAACCAGACCUCCAACCAGUUGUCACUGCGAGUUUUUGGAUGUAUAUGUUUUGUUCAUGAUCAUACCCCUGGUAAAGACAAACUCCAGCCCAAAUCAGUUAAAUGCAUCUUUCUUGGCUAUUCUCUGCUUUAAAAAGGUUACAAAUGCUAUGAUCCCACUACUAACAGAUAUUUUGUCUCUGCAGAUGUCACCUUUUUUGAAACCUCCCCUUACUUUUCUUCUAGUCCAAUGCAUAAAACCUUUGUUCCUAGCGCUUUGCCUGUACCUACACCUCUUAUAUCUCCUUGGCCUCAUGUCAGUCCACCCCUUCAGGUCUACACCCGUCGACCCUAUCCAUCUGCUACUGAUGCAGGUACUUCUAGUGACUCACCUCCAGUUCCAUCAUCACCUCCUUCGGUCAUGUCUUCAGUAGCAACAGCUACUCCUCUUGCUCUCCGAAAAUGUAUUCGCUCUUCUUGCAAUCCUCAUCCCAUUUAUAAUUUUGUGAGUUAUCAUCGUUUGUCUCCUUUCUAUUAUACUUUUGUUUCCACUAUGUCUGCUAUUUCUAUAUCCAAGACAGUUAGAGAAGUAUUGGAUCAUCCUGGUUGGUGUAAUGCAAUAGUUGAAGAGAUGACUACUCUUCAUAAUAAUGGAACUUGGGAACUGGUCUCUUUACCACUUGGCAAGUCUACUGUUGGUUGUCGAUGGGUUUACACAGUUAAGGUGGGACCUGAUGGCAAAAUUGAUCGCCUUAAAGCUCACUUUGUAGCUAAGGGUUACACACAUAUUUAUGGGCUUGAUUACAGUGAUACUUUCUUUCCAGUAGCCAAAAUUGCUUCUAUUCGCCUCCUUAUCUCACUGGCUGCAAUUAAUCACUGGGCCCUUCAUCAACUGGACAUUAAAAAUGCAUUUCUUCAUGGAGAACUCGCCGAAGAAGUCUGUAUGGAGCAACCUCCGGGGUUUGUUGCUCAGGGGAAGUCAGGCUUAGUAUGUCGUUUUCGACGCUCAUUGUAUGGUCUAAAACAGUCUCCAAGAGCAUGGUUCAGAUGAUUCAACAAUGUAGUUCAAUAGUUUGGAAUGUCUCGAAGUGAUUCUGAUCAUCCCGUAUUUUUUCGACAUAAUGGCAAUAGAUGCAUCUACUUGGUGGUCUAUGUUGAUGAUAUUGUCAUUACAGGAAAUGAUCAUGAUGAAAUCUUUUAGCUUAAGCAACAUUUGUUCAGUCAUUUCCAAACUAAAGACCUUAGAAAACUGAAGUAUUUCUUAGGGAUUGAAGUGGCACAGUCUAAAAUAGGUAUCGCAAUUUCUCAACGAAAAUAUGCUUUGGACAUAUUGGAAGAAACAGGCAUGUUAGACUGUAGACUAGAUUUCUCAAGCUGCCCUCCAUUUUUUCUAUAUAUGAGAUUAUUUCUGUAAAUAGCCUAGAUUUGUAGUGAUAAUUAGGGAUAUGAUUGUGUGAUAUGAUUGGGAUAUGAUUAGGCUAUAAUUAGGGAAUUAAUUUAUUUUCUUAACUAGUAUGUACUCUUGUAAGUAGUAUACCCCAAUUGGCUUGAUAGGAAUAAUCAAGUAUUUUCUCUCAAAUCUUCUACACUCUUUUUCUUCUUUUCAUCAAGUUUCAGCAGUGAUAGAGGAAGAAUUAGAGGAUUUCAGAGAUGCCUGGUAUUGGGUGAAUUGUGCAUACUCAUCUGCAAAUAUCAAAAUCCCUUGAUCUGAAGGGGCCUCAACUGCCAUAUACGCCAUUUGUGUGCACUGAUUCUUAUUCUGUAGUUUUUUGACAUGUCUUCUUGGUAUGUCCAGGUUCGCGGCAGUAAUAACAAAUGAUUCCUCCUGAGUCAGAAGUAGAACCUAUUUCCCCAGAACGCUGAGAUCCUUUACCACCAUUAAAACCUCCAUUUUGCCCCCCUCUGUUAUUCUGUCUGCCACUGUCAUUGCGGCUAACAAGGGCACUAGUGGGGUGUGAAGGAAUUAGAGAUUUUGUACGCAAUACCCUAGUGAACACAUCAUGUAAUAAUGAUAUUUCAGAGUCAAAAAGAAUCUGAGAUUUAGCUGUCUCAAACUCUGGAGGGAGACCUACAAGAAAGCUCAUAAUAGCCAUUUGCUCUCGUUGAACUUGUUGAGUUUUCACAUCUGUACUAAAGGGCAUCAAUACAUUAAGUUCUUCAUAAAUUCUUUUAAAAUCCAUGAAAUAGGAUGUCAAAGUUCUAUCAUUUUUCUCGACUCAGUAAAACGCCUUACACACAUCAUAAAUACGGAAAAUAUUCCCUUUGCCAGAAUAUAGAAAUUCCAAAUACUCCAUUAAUUCUUUAACAAAUUCAUAGUGAUUAAUAAGACUAAUCACCUCACUAUGAAUAGAAUUUCGAAUCUGCAGAAACAAACGAGCAUCAUCCCUCAUCCAAUCUCUAUGAGUUUCAUCAGUUGGAGGAUCCUUGGUAAGAUGAUCAUCCCUUUCAAUACUUCAUAAAUAAAUACGGAUAGUCUUACUCCAAUCUAAAAAACUAGAUCCAUUUAAUUUGUGUUCCUUGAUUUUAGUCAUCACACGAAUCACAUCAGUUAAGGUGGUUUUAACUUCAGCCAUAAGGACAACCAACCCAAAAAAUCAAAAUAAACAAAGGAUUAGAAGAAUAGUACCCGUGAACAGUACCAGAUGAACAGUACCCGAUAAACAGUACCAAAAACACUUCCACCCAACACCCGAAUGGCAUACAAACCUCAGAUAUGACAAGGGGACGGUGUGGUGACUCCGGCGAUGGUAAGAUCCAAAUGUUACCCUUUAUGGAUAACUCAAAUUAACAGAGCCCUAAGUCUCCAAAAAAAAUUUUAAAAGUUGACGAGAGAGACAAAAAAAAAUCUCUACGAGAAUGACUCUGAUACUAUGUUGAAGGAUAAUAUUUGUUGUAUUUCACAAUAGAUAUUACAACCUAUUUAUACAUGAGAGACGAUAUCUAAACAGGAAGGAAAAUUAAGCCUAUGAUUAUACAAUCCUAAGAUUAAGCAACUGACCAUCUAUCAAUAUUUACUUUCUAUAUUAACAUAUGAGAAAAAGAGAGAGAGAGAGAGAGAGACAGAUUUGAGAGAAGAGUUUGUGAUUGAUUAUUCUUGAAUGAAUCUGUAGCUGAUCUCUAGCUGGCAUUUAUACAUCUCUAACUGCUUCAGUAACAGAGUAGUUACUGGUAGUUACAACUGCUUACAACAGAAUUAUUCCUUCUAUUCCUGCCUAUACCAACUUCUAGAACUGAGGAUCUCUAUUCUUCUUCUCUCUGCGUAGUAUGUGUCAUACUGCUGCAAGGGCUUGCUAACAUUGUCUCAACUUCUUGCUGCAGAAUAAGUACCUUCUCCUUGUGAAUGUUCAUACUUUGUUGACAAGUUAUUUUCUUUUGUACAGUAAACUUACUUGUACAUGCUAUAGAUGAUUCUUUUUCUUGUACUACUGGGGGUUUUCAUUUAUAAAAUCUAGCAGUUCCUUCGGAAAUUUAGAUGUUAUAUGAAUUGUAUGUUCAUCAUAGUCAUGUUCAUGUGUAGUUUAUUAUGCUUCGUUCUUAUUACUCAGAACUUGUGCAAGUUUAAUUAUGUUCAAAUUUCAGCACCUUAUUUGGCAUGUUUUAACAUUUUUUUUUGGGUUUCAGUUUUGGAUUAAGCUAGUUCUUUCUUACAAAUGAUGCAUAUUUUGCGCUUCAGGUGCUUCUUGGGGAUGUUGGUGCUGGAAAGUCUAGUCUUGUGUUGCGUUUUGUGAAAGGACAGUUUGUUGAAUUUCAGGUUGGUGCAAUUAUCGACUUGGCAGAGGGUGGUUGUUGGUGGCAGGGUGGAUGGGUUACAAUAUUGUUAAUGAAGAUUAUUUAGAACUUGACUAUUGUUUUGUGAUAUUAGGAAUCAACCAUAGGUGCUGCCUUUUUUUCACAAACAUUAGCAGUGAAUGAUGCAACUGUAAAAUUUGAGAUUUGGGACACAGCAGGUCAGGAGAGGUAUCAUAGCUUGGCUCCAAUGUACUAUAGGGGAGCUGCUGCAGCAAUUAUUGUGUAUGAUAUGUCAAAUCAGGUAAGAUAUUCCUUCUUUGCAACAGAGGUUUAUAAAAUGGUGGUUAUAAUUAACUUUUUAUAAAUGUAAAUGAGCCAAGCAUGAGCUCAUUAGGACACAAAAUUAAUGAUAUGAAAAUUUUAAAUUCUAAAUAAUCCAAUGUCCUAAUAUUGAACACGCUUGGAAUUAUAGACCAAGAGAAGCCUGUGUGGUGUAGGGGAAGGUGCAUCUUCUUUAUAGAGAAGCCAACUCCUCCCCUACUCAUCACUCCCUUGCUCAUCAUUAUUCAGUGUGGAGUUCCGGUUCUUCCACCAUACGUACCACGUGAUAAAGCCUUUUUCUUUCAACAAAUAAACAUGAAGGCUAAUGGCUCAAUAGUAUAAAUGCAUGUUUGUGCUUUUAAUGGGCCAUCUUCAAUUCCAUUAAGCUCAAUUUUCUUAUUUUUCCUUUUUAUUUUCUUCUUUUUUUAUCCUUCUUGUUUCUUCCUCUUCUUUUAUUCUUUUUCCAACUUUCUUUUUUAAUUCAAUGGAGGUGUAUUAGAUAGAUAAUAACUUAUAGGCUACAGAAAAAAAAUAUUCAUCUCCCUUUCUCACCAUAAAUAUGAAUAAUUUUAGAAUAGGUAGAUAAGGAGAUUUCAAGUCGAGGCCUUAUUUGCUUUCUAUAACUUGAAAAUGAAGGAAGACUGACUAGGCUACCGUUUGAUUAGCUUUUCUGCUCCUAUCUUUUAUCCUUUUAUAUUUUCUUUUGGUUUCUUUAUUACAUAUAUCAUCUACAAAUCCUAUGCUUUAAUUAAGAUGCAGAAAAGGGAAUCCAACCUCAAGACAAUUGAGAGUAUAUUGCAUAAAAGAAAGUAGAGAAUUAAAAGGGAAUAGAAAAAGAAGAUUCUAGUAACAUACAAGGACAUUAGCUGGUAGAGUAGUUUUUCUGUUAGAGUGAUUUAAGGAGGCCUUGCCAUAUGAAGAUGCUAACAAAAUAGAGCUAGAGACUUUUAUAAAGGGGAGCAUGCUUAACAAAGGAGGUGUAGAAUAUUUCAUUUUAAUUUGCAGCUGCGUAGCUGGGGCUAGCUUGCUAGUUCGGGAGACCAUUCUCCUGGGAUUUAUUGCUCUUAUGUCUUGUAUUUCUUUUAGAAAUUUGGGGAGAAAUCAAAAUCUAUAGGUUCCCAUUAUCUUGCAAGGCAUUUCUGCCAUUGUUUACUCAAUACAACAUUAUAUUUCUCCAAUAUUCUUUUCAAUUCAUCUUUCUCUUGUUCCUAACUCCAUCAAAUGGUCAGAUCUGCCGAAUCCCCAAAUUCACAAUACAACUUUUGGGAUGAAGAUGGAGAGGAACAUGGAAACGCGGCAAGAGUACUGGGUUAACUUCCAUCAAGAGCAGGAAGAAAAUUUUAAUAGGAUUGAAGAAUUACUCAUCGAGUUGUUAAGGAAAGAGGUGACGGCUGGGACCGAUGAAGAUCUAAAAUUUCUUUAUCAACAUAAAUGUGAGUCUGGAAUUUUUCACAUAGACAUUCCUAGUCAAUUCCUAAAAGAUGUCCCAAGAAUGGUGGAAAUACCCAUUUUACUAGAGAUGACCCGCAACAUUGGAUUGAGCAAGCCGAGCGAUACUGAUAUAGUAAAGAAUGACAGAGAACAAAAACACUAUAAAACGAGAUAGAAAACUCAGUUGUAUUAGAUCAACAAGAGAAACUACGCAAACAUUCUCUCACAAUAAUCUCAUUACUGUAAGAAUUAGUUCCAGCUAAGUAUUAGUUACUAAAGGGAAAUAAGAAAAACUAGAAGAGAAUUUGGUAAAGAAAUGACUGAAUACUCAGCCCCAAGGAGCAAGUUCUCCAGUGCAGAAAAGAUCACUCUGCCCUCUAUAUUUUGGAGAAACCACCAUCACUAGCAAAAGGUGUCCUUUUCUCUGUCCCUUUCCUCCCUUAAAUGUUGGGCAAGAAUCUUCCACCAUAACUAAUUCCUGCCAUGUGUCAUAUUCCCAUUUUGUUAGAGUAUUCUUCUUGGGAUUCCUCUUGAAAUUCAGCCAGUUGUGAUUCUCCCUGCAUAGCAGCCAACUGUUAUUUUUGUUUCUUCUUUUUUCUAUAAUACACCUUAUACCCUCUUGAGACUAGACCUUCUCUCUUAUCAUUACUCUCCUGUUGGAGUUCAGCCUUGUCCUCAAGGCUGAAGUAAGGAAAUUGGCCCCGAAAAUCUAAAAGGUUCAUCCAUGUAGUGACGUGGAACCCUAUGGCACAAGCCUCAAACCCACACGCACAAGUAGAUAUGGAAUCCAAAGAUUUGAUAAAUCCACCUCCUAUGGCACCCCACACUUAGAGAAGUUGAAACACCAAUGAUCGAAGGAUUUAUAUGAGAAUCCGACAAACGCCACAAUGAAUAGUUGAUAAGUUAGCCAAGAUUCUUGGUGCAAUUGAUGAAAGCAAAUCCUCACUCUCAUUCAAAGCAAUACAAGCCAAAGGCAUGAAAAGAAUUCUGAAAAUUUUGAUUCAAAGUUGUUCUUACAAGCGUUUUUUAUCCUUAUAUAAUAAGGAGAGAAAAUAAAACCCUAAGACAUUCCUUUUAGGGCUGGUCGAACCACACACAAGACCCAAGCCCAAUCAUACACUAAAAUAACACAUCAAACACAUAAGUAUUAAAAUAUAAGCCCAAAACAUAACCCAACACUCUAAAAACUUAAAAGAUAAAAUAUGGCUAGAAUACAAGCCCAAACAAAACUAAAAUAAAACAAAUGUUUAAAUAAUAAAAUAUAACAAGCCCAUCAUAACAAUGCCGAAUAAAUUAGACAGCGCUAUCUCCAUUACACACCUUAAGCAAGGUGAGUAGCUUAGGUGUACCUUCAAGUUUCGCGAGACAUUUGCCAAUGGCAAACUCAGUCAAUUCUUGGGUUACUUGUUCUUGAAUGUGUAAGUUCAUAGCUGCUUCAAGCUUCUUAGCUUGGCUCCUUGUCACUGGUCUACUAGGGAGCACCAAUGGAUCCUUGCUUCCUUGAUUCUCAUGUGAUUGUGCUUGUUGGUUCGUAUCAUUCCCUCCUUCCUCAAAAAGAUUUAUCCUCAAAUCUGCAACAUGGUCAAAAGGAGACAAGUCAGACACAUUAAAGGUAGCACUAACCCCAUACUCACUUGGUAAGUCUAUUUUAUAAGCAUUGUCAUUGAUUCGCUCUAAGACUUGAAAUGGACCAUGACCACGAGCAUCCAGCUUAUUCUUCCUCUGAUUUGGAAACUGUUCCUUUCGGAAGUGCACCCAAACCCAAUCACCAGGAACAAACACCACUUUCUUCCAUCCCCUAUUUGCCCUGUCAGCAUACACCUUGUUUCUCUUCUUUAUGUUAGACCGAGCCUUCUUAUGUAAGGACUUCACCAAUUCUGCCUUUUUAGCACCAUCUAAACUAGCAAGCUCAUGUAAAGGUAAAGGAAUGAGAUCAAGUACAGUAAGUGGGUUGACGCGGAACCCUAUGGCACAAGCCUCAAACCCACACGCACAAGUAGAUACGGAAUCCAAAGAUUUGAUAAACCCACCUCCUAUGGCACCCCAAACUUAGAGAAGCUGAAACACCAAUGAUCGAAGGAUUUGGAUGAGAAUCCGACAAACGCCACAACGAAUAGUUGAUAAGUUAGCCAAGAUUUCUGGUGCAAUUGAUGAAAGCAAAUCCUCACUCUCACUCAAAGCAAUACACGCCAAAGGCAUGAAAGAAAUUCUGAAAAGUUUGAUUAAAAGCUGCCUCUUACAAUUGUUUCUUAUCCUUAUAUAGUAAGGAGAAAAACAAAUAAAACCCUAAACACUCUUCUUGGGUCUGACUUAAACACCUAAGGCCCAAGCCCAAUCACACACUAAAAUAACGCAUAAGUAUUAAAACAUAAGCCCAAAACAUGGCCCAACACUCUAAAACUUAAAAGAUAAAAUAUGGCCAGAAUACAAGCCCAAACAAAGCUAAAAUAAAACAAGUGUUAAAUCAUAAAAAUAUAGCAAGCCCAUCAUAUCAAUGCUGAAUAAAUUAGACAGCGCUAUCUCCAUUACACACCUUAAGCAAGGCGAGUAGCUUAGGUGUGUCUUCAAGCUUCACGAGACAUUUGCCAAAGGCAAGCUCAGUCAAUUCUUGUAUUACUUGUUCUUGAAUGUGUAAGUUCAUAGCUGCUUCAAGCUUCUUAGCUUUACUCCUUGUCACUGGUCCACUAGGGAGCACCAAUGGAUCCUUGCUUCCUUGAUUCUUAUGUGAUUGGGUUUGCUGGUUCGUAUCAUGGGUUAAAACCAUAAACAAGCUCAAAUGGAGAAAACCCCGUGGAAGAAUGUAUGCUACGGUUAUAUGCAAAUUCAAUGAAAGGCAAAAAAUCUUCCCAAGUGUUCAAAUUCUUACCCACUAUAGCUCUGAGUAAGGUACCAAGAGUUCUAUUCACCACCUCUGUCUGGCCAUCUGUUUGUGGAUGACAAAUAGUAGAAUAUAAGAGUUUAGUACCCAACUUACCCCACAAUACUUUCCAAAAAUGCGAAAGGUACUUUGCAUCUCUAUCUGACACGAUUGUCCUUGGCACUCCAUGAAGUCGAACCACUUCCCUGAAGAACAAUUCAGCUACAUUGAUGGCGUCAUCAGUUUUAUGGCAAGGAAUAAAGUGAGCCAUCUUGCUAAACCUGUCGACAACAACAAAUAUGCUAUCUCUACCACGCCUAGUCCUAAGUAAGCCAAGCACAAAGUCCAUAGAAAUAUCCAUCCAAGGUGAACUAGGAACAAGUAAAGGCAUAUAAAGACCAUGAGGCAUAGACUUAGACUUUGCCUGUCUACAUGCAAUACAAGAAACGCACACUUUCUCAACAUCUUUGCGCAUAGAAGGCCAAUAAAAAUGCUCAAGUAAGGUGUCAUAAGUCUUAUGUACUCCAAAAUGCCCCAUCAAACCCUCUCAAUAAGAUUCAAGCACAAGCAAAUCACGCAUAGAGCAUCUAGGUGCACACAAUUUCUUACCCUUAAACAAGUAACCAUCAUGCCUAUAAAAAGAGUUAAAAGCUCCACGCUCACAAGCCACAAACAUAUUGCCGAAAUCAGUAUCAUUAAUGUACAAGUCCUUAACAUGCUCAAAACCAAGUAAUUUAGAACUCACAGCAUUAAUUAAAGCAGACCUCCUAGACAAAGCAUCUGCAACCACAUUGUCUUUCCCAUGCUUAUACUUAAUCACAUAUGGAAAUUGUUCAAUAAACUCAACCCACUCACCAUGCCUCUUAUUCAACUUGCCUUGUCCUUUCAAGUGUUUUAAGGAUUCAUGAUCCGUAUGUAUCACAAACUCCUUGGGCAGGAGAUAGUGUUGUCACCCGUCCAGUGCUCUCACCAAGGCAUACAGCUCCUUUUCAUAGGUUGAAUAAUUGAGAUGUGCUCCAUUCAACUUCUCGCUGAAAUAGGCUAUUGGUUUCUUUUCUUGCAUCAACACAGCCUCAAUACCUAUGCCAGAAGCAUCACACUCAAUUUCAAAAGUUUUAUCAAAGUUAGGUAAAGAUAAUAUAGGAGCGGAUGUUAACUUCCCUUUUGAGCAGUCAAAAGCUUUCUGUUGCUCCUCUCCCCACUUGAACCCAACUUCCUUCUUAAUAAUUCCUGUGAGUGGUGCUGCAAUCGUAGAGAAAUCGAGCACAAACCUCCUGUAAAAGCUUGCAAGGCCAUGAAAGCUCCUCACAUCUGAAAUAGAUUUAGGAAUAGGCCACUCCUUUAUAGCUUUCACCUUCUCUUCAUCUACCUCAAUUCUCUGUGCAUUCACAACAAAACCAAGGAAAAAUGUCUAUCUAUACAAAAUGUGCACUUCUUAAGUUUAGCAUACAAGCUCUCUUGCCUCAAAACCUGCGGAACCAACCUAACAUGCUCAAUAUCAAUGAAUUCCUGCAUCAUAGACUUAAAACUAGAAGGCAAAGAAGAAAGGUUAAUAUCAAUGUCAGCAAAUAAAAUCUCCUUAUAUCUUAUAAGCAACACGGGCUGCCCUAAAGAAAUAGCACCCUUAACCUCUCUCGCUCUCACAUAAAAUGUUUGUUUUGCCCUCCCCUCUUACAUCUUUUCUCUCACUAAUGGGCCAUUUAUAGGUCUUGAUUCUUUUCGAGCCUCUUUACCCUUAGACUCACUCUUUUCUCUCAUCUUUUCCGCAGAACUCAAGCUCUCACUCCCCUUUGUAGCCAAGGCCUAAGCCUCCCUCUCCCUCUCCAGCAUCUUUAUUUGAUCAGCAUAUACCUCUUGAGGUGAUAAAGGAGCGAGUAUAACCUUAUGUCCUUCAUGAGUAAAGGAGUACCUGUUAUUGAACCCAUCAUGCUGCACCUUUCUCUCAUAUUGCCACGGUCUACCCAACAACAUAUGGCUUGCCUGCAUAGGUACGACAUCACACAAGUUCUCAUCCUUGUACCUACUAAUAGAAAAUGGUAUAACCACCUGGCAUGUAACCCUAACCUCACCACAAUCAUUCAACUAUUGUAAUCUGUAUGGCUUAGGGUGUUUGAUAGAAGCCAAGCCCAAUUUCUCCACCAUAUACACACUAGCCACAUUUGUGCAACUACCUCCAUCAAUAAUGAGAGUACACACUUUUCCAUUAACUAAACACCUAGUGUGAAAUAUGUUUUCCCGUUGUUCUAGGCUUUCUUCCUUAACCUGGAUAUUUAGAGCACGCCUAGCAACAAGCAUCUCACCAUGUUCAGCAAGCAACACAUUAUCAACAAACACAUUCGAAUCAUCAUAGUCGUUAUGAGCAUCAAUCAAUUCAGUCAUAUUAGCAUAUAUCUCAUCAUCACUAUGAUCAGAAUCAGACACUACACCCCCAUCAACAGUUGCUAUCAUAACUCUCUUAUUAGGACAUUCAGAUGCAAUAUGUCCUUUCCCCAAGCAUUUAAAACAUUUUAUCUCUCUACUAUGGUUAGAAGAGUUAGAAUUUCCUGACUGUUGCUUGUUAUUACCUUGAGAAGGUCCUUUGUUAGUGGAGACCAAAUCUUUGCCCCCUUGGAUUGGGCUUUUGUAAUCUUUCUUUUCUCCACUUCUAUAGCCUGGAAAUCCACCACCACUAUUUGAGAACUUGUAUGUGAUUUUAAGGUUAUUUCUGCCCUUGUGACGCCUUUCUAUUUUCAUUGUUUUAUCAACCAUAUCCUCCAUGGUAUUGUAUUGGUACAUGUCAAGUUCUUCAGCAAUGUAGUGGUUAAGACCACCUAGAAACCUGGACAUCAACAUUUGCUCAUCCUCCUCAAUAUGAGCCCGAGCCAUCAUCAUCUCCAUCUUCUUGUGGUAUUCUUCCACACUCUUUCCUCCUUGCACCAGUCUUGCCAACCUUUUGUACAAAUCCCUAUAAUAGUGCGAGGAAUAAAUCUUUGGCGCAUCAACUCUUUCAAGUAUUCCUAUGGUGGAACUGCCCUUAAGCCCUUAUUCCUCCUAGUGGAUUUCAAUUGAUCCCACUAGAAAGAGGCAUAACCCGUGAACUCAACGGCAGGGAUAUGAGACUUCUUCUCCUCAGUAUAGUUAUGACACUCAAAUAUUUGCUCAGUUUUUCUCUCCCAUUCAAUGUAUUCUUCAGCAUUGUUAUUCCCUUUAAAUUCAGGAACUUUCAUCUUUAUUAAGGGUUACCGUCAAUUGUGUUGGUUUGGUAUGUCUCGGUGUCAUCAUCAUUUCUGCCAAGUCUAGCAUCUCCACCUCUAGUCCACCCAACGCCAGUUCUAUUACCUCCAUGAACUUCUCCUCUUCCCCUUCCUUGUCCGACAUUAUCUUCUGUAUCAUCAACUUCACCUCGGACUUGAGGUUCUCGAACUUGUGGUCUAUCGGGGUUAAGAAUUUGAUGAGCCAUUCUUGUAGAAGUGGAAGCCUGUGAGACUUUCAAACUCUCCAGAGUUUCGGUCAUCCUCUCAAGAGCCUUAUUGAGUCUUUGGAACUCACCACUGACUGACUUCAUAAAGAGUUUAUAAGCGAGACCCAUGUCCGAUUCACUUUCAUCAGUACUAUCCACCACAUUCUUGUCUUUACUCAUCCUACCUUAAAUCAACAAAGAACAAAGAACUAGCAAAUAUUGUGUUAGAAAAGAAAGCACUCAAGUGUUUGCACUCUUACCACUCUUUUGCUGAUUCUUCAAUUGCACUUCAGAAACUAAGGUCAAUCAACCAACCACAAGGUGCAUUUAAUGAAACAAAGAAGAAAAUCUAAAGAAAGUAGGAAACGUGCAAAACUAGAAAGAAGACACUGACAAUUUGGAAAGUAACACAAGAACUAGGUUUUGUGCUACUUGAAAAAUAUCACCUAGAGUAUAGACACAAGUAAACAAUACUCCAGCAAUGUCAAGGAAGUAAAAGCAAGCUUAAACCAAAAAAGGAAACUUAGAAUUCAAAUAAAAACGAACCUUGACAAAAGUUUGAAUUUAAUUCACUUCAAAGUAAAUUAAAUAUAGAUCUAUUUAAAUCUACCCAAAAAGGCAAGUAUCAAGACCGCACAAAUAGAAUCAGAAAAAAAAAUUUUAAUUUCACUCAGAUCAGCAUCAUGGACGAAAAUUCUAGCAUUAAAAGAAGGAUUUGACAUCAAAUCAAUUUAGAUGCAAUUACCUUAAAUGUGCACUUUAGGAAAUAGGCAGAAUUUCUUUUAUCUCCUAAUCUGGAUUCAAUGCAAUUCAAAAUUCAAAAUUGAUUCUCAUAAAUUACAGCCAUCAAUUGAAAUAGUUAAGGCAAUAUAGAUGAAAUAAAAAGUAUAUCACAAUUUCGGCCAGAUCAAGAUAAAUAAGGCAAAGGCGAUUUUUUUGUUUUUUUUUCUCUUUUUUUUUUAUGGAUUUCGAAUUUUUCUUCCAAAAGAGAUUAUGUGAUGAUUGAUAAUCAAGAAGGUACAGCCAUGGACACACAAGUUUUCACCGAAAUCAACAAGAAAGAAAAGGAAAACUCAAAACCCUUAGAUCCUAAGACGAAUUAGAAUUUACCUCACUUUGGCUCUGACACCGACGCGGAACCCUAUGGCACAAGCCUCAAACCCACAAGCAGAUAUGAAAUCCAAAGAUUUGAUAAACCCACCUCCUAUGGCACCCCACACUUAGAGAAGCUGAAACACCAAUGAUCGAAGGAUUUAGAUGAGAAUUCGACAAACGGCACAACGAAUAGUUGAUAAGUUAGCCAAGAUUCUUGGUGCAAUUGAUGAAAGCAAAUCCUCACUCUCACUCAAAGCAACACACGCCAAAGGCAUGAAAAGAAUUCUGAAAAUUUUGAUUCAAAGCUGCUCUAACAAGUGUUUCUUAUCCUUAUAUAGUAAGGAGAGAAAAUAGAACCCUAAGACACUCCUUUUAGGGUUGGUCGAACCACACACAAAACUCAAGCCCAAUCACACACUAAAAUAACACAUCAAACACAUAAGUAUU